rnacentral:tRNA from 1 species
GGACAGGUGGCAGAGCGGUCGAAUGCACCGGUUUCGAAAACCGGCGAGCCUGCAAGGGCUCCGUGGGUUCGAACCCCACCCUGUCCG